AGUUAAAAACCAGUUAAGUGCUAUCAAGUCAGACAAAAAAUAAGAUAAAAUAAAAGAAAGACAGAAAAUUUUCAAUUUCUGCACAUUUUUCCAUUGGUUUCUAGAUCCAAUCGUCAAGUCUGAGACUGCUAGGCAUUAAACCCCUGGUUACUACUUCAUAAAGAAAAAGCCCAAGUUUAAAGUGUGUGUCUGCAUUGCAUGAGAUUAAACAUUUAACGUAAAAUGUGAUGUUUGGUUUUCUAGAUGUAGAAAUUGAAAGAUUAUAAAAACUUAAAAAUUUCUUGAAAAUCAAGAUACAAAAUAAAAAUGGAUCAUAAAUCAAAAGGCUUUUGUAAUCUGUCCAAAUCAUGAGUAAAUUUGCCUGACUCCUUUGAUUAUAGAGAGUCUCGCCUGAAAAUUGAUCUAGCUCUCAGUAGGGGCAGGUCAGAUGGGAUUAGUUAAAACUCCAAUUCUGGAUCUAACUAUAGCCAUAUUAUUUAAAGAUCUUCAAAUCCAAAUCCCCUUCUAGGCUUGUGGUACAUCAAGGAGAGACAUCCUUUUACAGGUGCAUCUUGUGAACACCAAGAUAUCAUGGCAAAAAGCAGUAUGCCAAGGGUAGGAACUUAAAAAUUACCUUCUGUUUUCUUUACUCGUAAGUUUUGCUCAAGGGUCUGUACAGGUUCAGUUUAAAUAAUGGUUUCAAUUAAGUUUAACUAGUAGCUUUUAUAACAUCCAGGUCAGCAUGUUCAAUAUAUGUGCCCGUCCAGGUGAAUUAUAGAAGGGAAUAUGGAUAUCUAGAGAAAUGUAAAAUCAUGCUUGUAGGGUACGCUGCACUGUUAGUUGGUUCCCAUGCCAUAAAUCCUUAGCAUACUCCUCUAUGAUAUUUUGAUUCAAAAUAAACAUUUGGACAUGACUAGAAUGCAUUAGCUUUCGAUCUGAAGUACCAUUGAAGAAUCUGCAGGAGUUUCUUUCAUUAAGAGCCUGUUUUGCAAAUUAAACUACACAUGCAUGUGGUUGAGCCACAGAAAGGGACAAUGAAAGCUGUCUUGAGAAAGUUGAACUUGAGAAUUCAGUCUCACUUUUGAUUUGCAACCAAGAAAACAAGUAAAAGCAUGAGAUAUACCAGAUUAGUUCAUAUCAGACAUAUUGUUCAUUUAUUUUAUUUUUCAGAAGAAAAGUGAAGAAAUAAAGAUUAUUCAAUGUA